CAUAGAGGAAAAGUUUUGCUUCCUCCAAUGGCAAAUCUCUUGUACCCACUCUGAAUCAUUUAUUAAGUGACUACUCUAUAUAUGCAAGGCAGUGGGCUAACUAUUAGAAUACAAAAACCACCCAUUAUUCCUUGCAUAGCUGUUUAUGAGCUACCUCCAACAGAAAUGGAAAGGCAGAUGGAGAAAAGAAAGGAUGGAUUAAAGGAGAGAAGAGAGAUUUUUUUUUAUCAGCAACUUAUCCAUCACCUGCCUUAAGGAAAUCCAGUUUCCUAUGGUUUAUCCCUAAAGAAAGGAAGCAGAAAGAUACAAAGAGGUCUAGUAGAGUACACACAGUAAAGAGAUGCCUAGGGAGCAGCUAAUCGGUCCUGUAAAGUUACCAAGGCAACGGCACCUGGCUGUGACCUCACAGUGGGAAUAGUAGUAGAUGAGCAGACGUCAGGCAAAACCAGCCCACCACAAGUCUUCUUGCUUCAGGGAACAUGCCAGCAUGCUCAGUCCUUAGUGGGCACUAUGCUGAGGUUUAUCAACAAAUACUGCUGAUAAUCUAUGUUUUACAGGUUUAAGAAGAAGCCCCAGGACACUCUCUCAGCAGCAACUGGUUUGAUUGAUUCUCCUUCUGGAAAUGCCAGGUUGGAAGAACAGAAUCAAUCACAUUUCAGUUGAAUUGAGAGCAGAAUCAAUCACGUUUUACAUUGAGAAGAAUGAGGUAUCUCCACAAUGGGCCCCAUUCUCAUGAGGCUUUUCUUGGUAGAAAAUUCCCAUGCGCUGAACUCCUAUAGCUUAAGUUAUUGCAUGAAAAUAAAAGAAAAAAAUGUGUGUG